rnacentral:lncRNA from 1 species
UGUUCCUUCACACGACGCGAACGUUCCACUGUAAAGUUGGCAACUCGUAUCGAUUACGCGUCGAUUUUAAGGAAAAUUCACUUCGAUCGAUUUCUCGAUAGUCGGCUCGAAAGGUCCGAACUCGAGACGACAGAAACGCGGAGAAUCGUCGAAAAUGAAUGAAGUAGAGCGUUGGUAUCGUCCCCGGUAAGCCGGGACCGGCGCUCGCGUGGAAAUCAAGAGUAACACUGACUCGAUCGUCGAGUUGUGAAGCGAUAGGUGGACCGUACGUGCGAGUUGGUCCUCCCGCAUGCGAAACGUGGCAAGUUCGGGGUGCGUAUGCGGUUGCAAUGUGUAUGCCGGUCGCUAUGAAGCCGCUAAUAUAAACAAUGAAAAGAACGUCAAUAGCUACAAUGUGUUCAAUAUUUUCGAUAAAUAUGGUAUCUUUGCUUUUUCUUUCGACGAAAUGUGCAACUUUGUUAUUAAGAAUAUCUCGUUUCGGUUUAACAACACCGCUCGAGAACUUCAAACCGUUUAUAAUUUCACCAAUAUCGUCCUCUUUAUGUUGACACUUUCUGGAUAAAACGAUAUUAUCGAAAAAAGUAUUCUCGAUAUUCCAAUCGAGAACGAUGGCGACGGAAUUUUGCGCAGGGUCGAUGAUAAAUUUUGACGUAGUGUCAGAAAAGUUGGAACGACGCAUGGCCAUACGGAACACCGUGAGGGCCGAUGAUCGCUGCAGACUGCUCUGUCCGAGAGCAGCGAGGCUUCUCCGCAACGGCGAAACCGUGUACGCUGGUGCUGCUGUCGGUUGCUUCUCCACCACGGCACGAGUACCGUGCUGUCGAGGCUCCUCACCACCACGUAGAACCCUAAAUCCUGCGUAACGCACGCCCCCACUCUCCCUGAAACGUUUCCCCACCAACAUGCUUCUAUCCAACAUCCCCGUUGCCGAAGAUCGACCGUCACGCAACCAAUUCCUGUAUUUUAGAAAAGUUGCUUGUGCGCUUCGUUUCAGUCGUGAAUGAACUUACUCUUCAAUCUGCUCUCCUAUAAUCUUUGUAAAGCUAUUGAAUCAUCCUAUAUAAAUAUAUUUUUGUAUUUAACACUUCAUCGAAGUAAUUACACAUUGAUUUAUCAUUUGAUGCAUUUACGAAUCCAAAAUUGAAAGUAUUUGACAAAUCAUCGUGAUUUUGCGGCCACCUCUUCAAUUGGAUGUAAUCAAUAUUUUACUAUUGGAAACACACUUCAUCGAUCGAGCGUAACAACAUGUCCUUUGCACGGAGCCAGAGUUCGACGGGUUCUGUUCGAGAUGCACCUGGAAUGAUGCAUAACGCGGGGUCCAUGCAUAAAACAUCCCCACUUCUCGGUUCCAUGACGACGUCAGACCAAUCUCCGGCCACGCGAACAGGCUUAAACUACUUAUUUCUUCGCAAGCUGCUUAUCUCAAUCUUGGAACCGAUCGCGAGGUUCGAUGCACCAGGCGCGGAGAUACUGGUCGCACUACACAGGGCGCCGCUCUAAAAAUAGCAGGAAAAAAAUUUUAACGCGGAGUCACGCGAAUUACCGGAUUCCUUUUAAUUCCGCAGAUAUUAACACCGCCUUGGUUUUUUCAGAAUAUUAUUUUCGUUUCGGGAAACGUUUUAAAAACAUAUGUUAGAUUUAAAAGUGUGGCUUUAAGCCCGCAUGUACAAUCAUGUUUGAAAAUUAUUAAAAGAAGAAGAAACUUAAU